GUGGCUGUAGCUUGGUGGUAGAGUGCUUGCCUAGUAUGCAUGAGGACCUGAGUUCAAUCCCCAGUACUUCCA
rnacentral:tRNA from 1 species